CAGUCGCCGCGGGAAUACGGAGGGUGCAAGCGUUAAUCGGAAUUACUGGGCGUAAAGCGUGCGUAGACGGUUCGUUAAGUCUGUUGUGAAAGCCCCGGGCUCAACCUGGGAAUGGCAAUGGAUACUGGCGAGCUAGAGUGUGUCAGAGGAUGGUGGAAUUCCCGGUGUAGCGGUGAAAUGCGUAGAGAUCGGGAGGAACAUCAGUGGCGAAGGCGGCCAUCUGGGACAACACUGACGCUGAGGCACGAAAGCGUGGGGAGCAAACAGGAUUAGAUACCCGCGUAGUCCCUGUCUCUUAUAC
rnacentral:rRNA from 1 species